GCUCUUUGGGUAAAGAUGGCGGAGCGUGGGUACAGCUUUUCGCUGACUGCGUUCAGCCCAUCUGGUGGACUUGCCCAGAUUGAAUAUGCUUUCGCUGCUGUAGCUGGAGGAGCCCCAUCAGUGGGAAUUAAAGCUGCAAAUGGUGUGGUAUUAGCAACUGAGAAAAAACAGAAAUCCAUUCUGUAUGAUGAGCGAAGUGUACACAAAGUAGAACCAAUUACCAAGCAUAUAGGUUUGCUGUACAGUGGCAUGGGCCCAGAUUGCAGAGUGCUUGUGCACAGAGCUCGAAAACUAGCUCAACAGUACUAUCUUGUGUACCAAGAACCCAUUCCCACAGCACAGCUGGUACAGAGAGUAGCUUCUGUGAUGCAAGAAUAUACUCAGUCAGGCGGUGUUUGUCCAUUUGGAGUUUCUUUACUUAUUUGUGGUUGGAAUGAGGGGCGACCAUAUUUAUUUCAAUCAGAUCCAUCUGGAGCAUACUUUGCCUGGAAAGCUACAGCAAUGGGAAAGAACUAUGUAAAUGGGAAAACUUUCCUUGAGAAAAGAUAUAAUGAAGAUCUGGAACUUGAAGAUGCCAUUCAUACAGCCAUUUUAACCCUAAAGGAAAGCUUUGAAGGGCAGAUGACAGAGGAUAACAUAGAAGUUGGAAUCUGCAAUGAAGCUGGAUCUAGGAGGCUUACUCCAACUGAAGUUAAGGAUUACUUGGCUGUCAUAGCAUAACAGUGAAGUGACUGAAAAAUCAAGAAUUUCAGAUAAUCUGUCUACUUAAACAUGUUUAAAGUGUGUUUUGUUUUGCAGACUUUUUGCAUACUUAUUUCUACUUGGUUUAAAUCAACUUUUUAAAAUGACUUAUAAAUCCUCAUAAACUGCUAAACCCACCUCCCAGCCUUUUAGGAGUUGGUAAAUUUUAACAGUUAUUUCCUGCUUUUUAAUCAUAGUUGAUUUCUGAAGACUACAUUGCAAAGCAGAAUGAUGAAAUCACUUUUUUUAGUUGUCAGCCACUUUUGGUUAAGUCAAAUCUUACUGCCCUCUUCCCUACCACAUGUUGCCUGUGUUUCCAUAAAGCAAAAUUCUGAUUUUGGUAAAAACAUCACUGCUUCUAGAAGCUGGAAGGGUCUGCAGACUUUCACGGAUUCAUGGGACAAGAAAAGCAUAGGUGCUUUUAGGUAAUGACCGGUGAAAUCCUAGGGUGCUCUAUGAGAUUGUAUUGGGGCUAUGAAGAGUGGUAAGCUGAAUAGGUCUCCAUGGGAGAUAUAUUAUAUAAGUAAAUAAACUGGUUUGCUGGUUCCUGUCGGUGUCUCCAUCUCAAGUAGGUAAAUGUUUUAAAGGAACCCCUUAGGUUUUGUGAGACUUUUUAAACUCAAGGAUGAGCAUAAGUGUUUGAAAUAAAAUGUUAAUACUUAAGUGUCAAAA